GUGAGUUUUUGUCUUUAUGAUUAAAUAGGACGCUGUGUUAGAGUGAGACUGCACUAUGGUGUGCACUUGUUUAAAGGAAGUGGCAGCUUGUAGCAGAUGAUGCCUUGCAAUGAACUGCGUGUGGUCAAAGACUUAUUCCAAAAGCAGUUCCUUGUAUUUCUUCUUGUAUGGGAACUGCUGAAUCACAGCCUAAGCCACUGAUUGAGCACCUGGGGAAAGGACCCAGUCAGCCCUGGGAGCACAAGUGAAGGCAAUGCAGCUGUGGGACAGGAAGGGGUGGAGCCUGGCUGCACCUCUCCUAGACCCCAUUUAAGGGCUGAGUGCCACUGGGGAAGGAUUUCUGAUUGGAGGUUUCUUCUUUGUGGAGUCUUUCCUGGGAGGUGAGGUCUUCAGAGAUGGUAGAAGAUUAAAAGUCUGAAUUGUACAAAUGACACUCCUGGUUGCCAAGAAAGCUUUGAUCUUGAUAAUGACAGGAUGCGAUGGCUGGAAGCUGUAGCUCACAGGAUUCAUAUGAGAAGCAAGGAAUCAAGCUGUUCAGAAUGAGCCACAGACCUUGCUGAUGUGACUGCACAUUUACGGUAAUAUAAACUAAUUUAUAGUACAUAUGGAAAGGAGACUUCAUUUGGAUUUGGCAAUGGAACAAAAACACUCAUGUAUCUGGACUAAAUCUCAUAGAAUCACAGAGCAUCCUGAGCUGGAAAGGACCCAUGAGGAUCACUGAGUCCGACUCCACGCAGGACAACCUAAGAACGAAACCAGCUUCCUGCUGUUCUGUAGGAGGAGAACAGUUUGUGGAGUGCAUGUGCAGACAAAACCGCUGUGAUCCACA
ensembl:lncRNA